GCCCGCAUGGCUUAAUGGUAAAGCGCAUCACUAGUAAGCGACAUUCGAAAAUCGAUUCAACGCGUGCUGAAAUGAUGAGAUCCUCGGUUCGAUUCCGAGUGUGGGCA